GGGCUCGUAGCGCAGCACGGAUAUGAUAACUGGAGAGCGCGGCAGACCCUUGGCCGAGCCUCCUAAGCUGUAGGUCCGGGGUUCAAGUCCCCGCGAGCCCGCCA
rnacentral:tRNA from 1 species